CAAAUUAAAGUUUUAAAAAUAUUUUAUUUACAUUAAAAAGUUAAUUGUUAAAUCAAUUUAAUUUGA
rnacentral:tRNA from 4 species